rnacentral:lncRNA from 1 species
GGCUAUUCUAGACAGUCUUGUGGAAACAUUAGCAGGUUCGCCACCUGUAGGUGUUAAUGAACUUGGGUGUUCAUUCGCUGUACUCCAUCCCCCUCAUGGUUGCCUUAUUUGACUUAUAUUGCUGAGGUACCCCCGAAGCAUGUGUUGUCGCCCCGAUGAAAUAUUCUUAGACUAGGUCCCUUAUGUUAGUUGUUUUAGGGACAUUAAAGUGAGAAUAACGGGAAUGGGUAAUUGGGUUAUUGUUGGUUGGUGAAAAUUAAAUAUGAUAUUUAUUGUGGGUUGAAAACCCUAUAUGCUCACCAGGCUCCCAAGCCUGACCCACUCAGUUUUAAAUUGUAUUACAGGUAGUGGCGGAAGGGCAUGAGAUGGAUGAACCAUCAAGUUGUUUUGUUUACAAGUCUGCAUAUGUUUAUAUUUGUUAUAUGACUUGUAAUGUAUUCGUUUAUGCUUAUUGGUCUGUAUCGGAACAUGACACCCCGAGUUUUGAUUAUAAUGAAAAUACAUUUCUUUUAUGAAAUGCUUCGGUAAACAAUGUUUUAUCAUGUUUUGUUUUUGGGAACAAAUUCCGCAACUCUUUCAAAUCAAAAGGAUUUACUCUGAAAAUAUUUAAAAGCAUAAAUGAAAAUCGGUCUUUUCUGGCCGAGAUUUUGGGGAUGUCACAGUUGGUAUCAGAGCAUUAGUUUAAGCGAACUAGGAAUUUGUAGGAUUUCUAGACUUAAACUUAGAAUGCUAAGUGAAGUUUUGAGAUGUGUGUCUGUUGUGAUUUAGACACGAGCACUAGUUUAUUUUAGGAAAGUUGCCUAAAAUGCUUUAUGUGCUAAAUGUUAUAUGUUGCCAUAUAUGAUAUUAUUUGUUCGGAUCUAUGGUCUGUUGCCGACCGGAUCUAGAAACCUUAUGUGUGUAGGAUUCUAAGCGUACGUCUACGAUAUUAGAACUAGCAUGUAAACGUUUCGGAGUGAUAAGGAUGAUUUGAAUAUCUAUCAUGAUUGAGGAUCUAAUUUCACCUUAUUCGGUGUAGAUCAAAAUGGUGAGAACAAGAAGUGGAGUUGGAAAUGCUGACGAAAACAGGAAUCAACCACCAGUGAUUGAGCCAAUACCUGUCGUAGCAGCAGCACCUGAGCCAAUAACCAUGGCUGGUGUGCAAUUGAUGAUUCAGACGAUGUUGGAUCGUCAGAUGGAUGAAACUAGACGGUUGCUUCAACAAAAUCGUGAAGAACUGUCGAUUCGUGUGGAAGAGCCUGAACUGAAUGAAGGGCACUCGGAAGGUGGAAACUUCAGUGGGUCUGUUGGUCCAGCCAACCCACCGAUAGUUAGGCAAGAUAACCAUGAUGGAAGGAAUGAUGGAAUGGGAUGCAAGUACAAGGACUUUUUGACUUGUAAACCAUCGACCUUCAAUGGAAAGGAGGAUCCGAUUGGGGUUAUGGAUUGGAUCUCCGAAAUGGAGUUAGCCUUUAUGACAUGUGGCUGUAGAGGCAAGUUGCAGACUAUCUAUGCCGUGCGACAAUUCCGAGGUGGAGCCGUUCGUUGGUGGAACACUCUAGGGAAGACCUUAAGCCCUAAUGAGCCACUGCAAUUGUCAUGGGCAGAGUUCUUGGUGCAGUUCAAGCGCAAGUUCUGCUCGGCUCAAAAUCUGUUGGAGUUGGAGAACAAGUUUUUGACAUUGACGAAGGGUAGCAUGUCAGUGGAUGAGUACACCAAUAACUUCACCGAUAAGAUGGAGUUUGCCUUGCGUAUCGUUCCAGACGAGCUGACAAAGGUGGAUCGGUAUGCGAAGGGACUUCCAUGGGAGUACGAGGUGCCGGUACGUCAGGCACUUACUCUAGAGGCAGCUAUCUGGGCUGCCAAGUCUGUGGAGAACAUGAUCAAGGGGAGAACCACCGUCAAGGUUGAGGUUGGUGAGAAAAGGAAGUUUGAAGGAACAUCUGGUUCCAGUAAGAAGAGCAAAUUUUCGAAAUCUGAUUCGAAAAAGUUUGGAGGAAAAGGAGGCGAAGCAAAGUGGUGUGAUAAGUGUAAGAAAAAGCACUUUGGGAAAUGUAGCGAGGAUGUGACCUGCUACAAGUGUGGAAAGGUUGGACAUUUUGCCAAUGAAUGUCCGAACAACAAAAGGAUGUGUUUUGGGUGUAAUGAAGAGGGGCAUAUUUUGAAAGACUGUCCGAAGAAGAAGGAGGCAGCUAGGCCCAACAUUCCACCAAAGCCGAAGGCGAGAGCCUUCCAGAUGACACUUGAGGCUGCGAAAGAUGAAGCUGAUGUCGCUUCAGGUACCUUUCUCGUAAACGAAUUACCUGCUCAUAUAUUGUUUGAUUCUGGAGCCAACUACUCCUUUAUUUCGCAUGAGUUUGGUAGAAAGCUAGCUUUGCCUGUUGAUAGACUAGAUAAUGCUUUAUUAGUCGAAGUAGCUAGUGGCAAGUUUGUACCUGUUAGCCAUCGUAUGAAAAACGUCUUGAUCGACCUUAAUGGGAAUAAGUUUCUCGAGGAAUUAUUGCCUAUCGAACUAAAUGGUUUCGACAUCGUCUUGGGAAUGGAUUGGCUUAGCGCCAAUGAUGCCGAAAUUUUGUGCAAGAAGAAGAUAGUUAAAGUAAACCCGCCUGGGAAAGAUUCGUUUAUGGUGUAUGGGGACAAACGCAGAGUGAAUUCUGGAAUCAUUUCUCUAAUGAAAGCCAGAAAGUGUUUGACCAAGGGAUGUACAUCAUAUUUAGCAUUCGUGAUUGAUGCUAAGAAAGAAAAGAAGGUGAUGCAGAGCAUUCCAGUGGUGUGUGAUUAUCCGGAAGUAUUUCCCGAGGAUCUUCCUGGAUUACCACCUGAUAGACAAGUGGAGUUCAGAAUAGACUUGUUACCAGGAACCACGCCAAUAGCAAAAGCACCUUAUCGAUUAGCACCGACGGAGAUGAAGGAGCUGAUGAUGCAACUUCAGGAGUUAUUGGACAAAGGUUUCAUUAGACCUAGUUCAUCGCCCUGGGGAGCUCCGGUGUUAUUUGUAAAGAAGAAAGAUGGAAGUAUGAGAAUGUGCAUCGAUUACAGAGAGCUGAACAAGGCAACAAUAAAGAAUAGAUAUCCGUUGCCGAGGAUUGAUGACCUGUUUGAUCAAUUGCAAGGUUCGAGCUAUUUCUCGAAGAUCGAUCUUAGGUCAGGAUAUCAUCAGCUGAAAGUAAGAGAGCAAGAUAUCGAGAAGACUGCAUUCAGAACUAGAUAUGGACACUACGAGUUCUUGGUUAUGUCGUUUGGACUAACCAAUGCUCCAGCAGCGUUCAUGGAUUUGAUGAAUAGGGUUUGUAAUCCUUUCCUUGAUAAAUCCGUGAUAGUGUUCAUAGACGACAUUCUGAUCUACUCGAAAAGCCAGGAGGAGCAUGGCAGACACUUGCGAGAAGUGUUAGAAGUUUUGAAGAAGGAGAAGCUUUAUGCGAAGUUCUCCAAAUGUGAUUUUUGGAUUCGUGAGGUCCAAUUCUUGGGUCACGUGGUCAACCAAGAAGGGAUAAUGGUUGAUCCAGCGAAGAUCGAAGCUGUGACGAAGUGGGAACAACCGAAAAGUCCCACGGAGAUUCGAAGCUUUUUAGGAUUAGCCGGAUAUUACCGAAGGUUUAUCCAAGGCUUUUCUUCGAUUGCUACUCCAUUAACAGCUUUGACCCACAAAGGAGCUACUUAUGCUUGGAGUGAGAAGCAUAAAGAAGCAUUCGAGAAGUUAAAGAAGAAGCUAUGCGAGGCACCGAUACUUUCUCUACCCGAUGGAGUUGAAGACUUCGCUGUUUAUAGCGAUGCGUCUGGUGUUGGAUUGGGUUGUGUUUUGACCCAAAGAGAAAAGGUGAUAGCAUAUGCGUCUCGACAGCUGAAAGAGCAUGAAAAGAAUUACCCGACUCAUGAUUUGGAGUUGGCAGCGGUAGUUUUCGCUCUGAAAAUAUGGAGGCAUUACCUCUAUGGCACGAAGUGCAAACUUUUCACUGAUCAUAAGAGUCUCCAAUACCUCUUUAAUCAGAAAGAAUUGAAUAUGAGGCAACGACGCUGGCUAGAAUUACUUAAAGACUACGACUGCGAGAUACUUUACCACCCCGGUAAAGCUAAUGUUGUUGCUGAUGCUCUCAGUCGGAAAGUCAAUCUUGAAAGGAAGAGGCCAAGAGCGUUGAGAAUUGAAGUUGUCUCGACUAUUGUGGAAAGUAUAAAGAAAGCUCAAGAGGAAGCUUCUGAGAAAAAUGACCGAAAGGAGGAACGUUUGGGUAAAACGUUGGUGUUUGGUACUAACGGUCAUGGACUGAAGGUAUUCCAAGAUCGUAUUUGGGUACCUAAGUCAGGAGGAAUUAGGGAUCUUCUGAUGGAAGAAGCUCACAAAACCAUGUACUCAAUUCAUCCGGGUAGCACUAAAAUGUAUAGGGACCUGAAACCCUACUACUGGUGGCCGACGAUGAAGCUUGAUGUUGCAAAGUAUGUGGCCGAGUGUGUGACUUGUGCGAGAGUCAAGACACAACAUCAGAAACCUUACGGGAGUUUAGAACCAUUGCCUGUGCCUAUGGGUAAGUGGGAAGACAUUGCUAUGGAUUUUGUCACUAAACUGCCCAGAACAAAGAAUGGUCACGACAUGAUUUGGGUGGUCGUUGAUCGAUUCACUAAGAGUGCGCAUUUCAUAGCGGCCAGGGAGAAAUGGUCUAUGGAAAAGCUUGCGAAUUCUUACGUGAAGGAAAUUGUGAGGCUUCACGGUGUUCCGUUAACGAUUGUAUCGGAUCGUGAUAGCCGUUUCACCUCAAGGUUUUGGAAAAGUCUACAAGAGGAAAUGGGUACCAAGUUAUGUUUAAGCACAGCUUACCAUCCGCAGACUGAUGGUCAGAGUGAAAGAACAAUACAAACACUUGAAGAUAUGCUGAGAGCAUGUACCUUGGAAUUCCUAGGUAAUUGGGAUGAACAUUUACCGUUGGUAGAAUUUUCCUAUAAUAAUAGUUUUCACUCGAGCAUUAAGAUGGCACCUUAUCAAGCUUUGUAUGGACAGAAGUGUCGUACGCCGUCUUGUUGGCUUGAGGCUGGGGAAAAGCAGUUUAUGGGACCGGAGAUGGUUCAUCAAACUGCUGAAAAGUUGAAAAUAAUUAGGGAAAGAAUGUUAGCAGCUCAAGAUCGUCAAAAGAGCUAUGCUGACAAGAAGCGAAGACCGAUGACUUUUGAGGUUGGAGAUUCGGUUUUGCUUAAAGUCUCGCCGUGGAAGGGACUUAUAAGAUUUGGUAAAAGGGGAAAGUUGAGUCCAAGGUUUAUUGGACCGUUUAAAGUCCUUCAGAGGAUUGGGAAUCAAGCUUACAAGCUCGAAUUACCCGAAGAACUGAAUGGAAUUCACAACACCUUUCAUGUGUGUUAUUUGAGGAAGUUCACGGGAGAAGUUCCCGAUAUAAUUCCAAUUUCUGAAUUGAGAAUUGAUGAGAACAAAAGGUUGAUUGAAGAACCAGAGGCAAUUGUUGACCGAAAGACUAAGAAGUUGCGACGCAAAAUGGUUGGGUUAGUGCUUGUCCGAUGGAAACACACGAAUGGGCCGAAUCUCACCUGGGAGACGGAGAGUGACAUGUUGAGUCGCUAUCCGCAUUUGUUUGUUGAUGUGUGAUUCCGGGGACGGAAUCAUUCUAAGGUGGAGAGAAUUGUAACGCCUGUGUUUCCGGGCUUGCCAUUUUUAGCAAUGUAAUAGUCUAGGUUAACCUUUGUAACCCGUUUUGAAAUAAUAAGAUUGUAUUAUUUGAGUAUUAUGUGUUUUGUGCUUAAUUGCUUAAUUAUGUGGUUUGAUUAAUUAAGAAUAAAAAUAAGCGUCAAAAUUUAAGUGUAAAAUAAACUUAAUAUCUUUGGUUAAUGUUGUAGUAGUUGAAACGAGGUUUCCGAAUAUAUAUAGAACGCCCAAAUCUGACUUCGUAUGAGGAAGUUAUGAUUUAUCGAAGUUCCGGCUUAGCGAUAUACAGCCUGUUUUACUCGAUUUGAGAUCGAGCGGUUGUUAGCCGAAGCAAUCUAAAUGAGAAUCGAAGAUCUCAUUGUUGGUAUUGAAACGAUAAAAAGUUAGGCGAGAACGGACGUCAAACGAAGAAGUUAUGAAUUUAUAACGAAAGUUUCUGUCCCGGCCUAUUAAAAAUAAUUAAUAAAAAUAAAGUCAAAAUUAGCCGACGGAGUCUAAACGAAAGUCGUAGAGCGUGGUCUCACCUUCGCGUGGAUAUAAAGAACGUCGAAAACGGAGUUCGUAUGAAGAAGUUAUGAAUUUCCGAAGUUUAUUAAUCAUUUUGUAUUUAUUUUUAAUUCAAAAUUCGGAAGCAUUAUCCGAAGGAGUCACCGAUCUGAUCCGAGGUACGCCCCGCGUACUCGAGUACGCCCCGCGUACUCCGAGGGAUGUCGACACUCGCACUCGAGCACUUCGGAUACGUAAGCAAUGACGUUUUGGGCAGUACGCCCCGCGUAACGCAGUACGCCCCGCGUACUCCGAGGCUCCAGCCUCCUAUAAAUAGGAUGCGAGGGUUCCGGGUAUUUUUGCCAAUUCCCUCUCGUUUUCGUGUCGAAGCUCUGUGCAAAAACCCCCGAAGCUACCCCGAAGUCCCGGUAUCAUACUCUAGCCCCGAGGCAAGUCCCGAGAUCCUGAAGAUCCCGAAAAGUGCGGUUCCCGAGUCGAAGCUCUGCCCGCGAGAAGUUCGAUUUUCGAGAAGAUCUUCCAGAUCUGCUGUGGAUUACUACUUCUAUAAGCCGUAGUGCUGUCCGAUCAUCUUCUGAUCAAGUGAGUGUGUAGUUAUUUCUUCUAAUACAAUAAUACGAAGUAUUUUAUAUAAAAAUACGUGCUAUGUGUAUAUAUUUGGUUGUGUUAUGUGUGAAUGAGUAUUCACUCUCUUCUAUCUUAUAGAUCUGCUUAUUUCUUUAUGAGAUAUGUGUUAUGUGUGUGUGUGCCUCAUCUGUUAUGUGAUAUAUGUGUUGAUUAAAGCAUGCUAUACAGGUUUUCUUUAAACUAUGUAUACAAAUGUAUAUUUUUAUCUACUAAUAUGUUGGGUAGAACAUGGGUAGACAGUUGGUGUGUAAUAAACAGAUGAGAGGCCUCGUUGUUGUUUGAUUGAGUCAUCUAGCGGAGUUUAGAUGACGACCACUGGCUAUUCUAGACAGUCUUGUGGAAACAUUAGCAGGUUCGCCACCUGUAGGUGUUAAUGAACUUGGGUGUUCAUUCGCUGUACUCCAUCCCCCUCAAUGUUGCUUUAUUUGACUUAUAUUGCUGAGGUACCCCCCGAAGCAUGUGUUGUCGCCCCGAUGAAAUAUUCUUAGACUAGGUCCCUUAUGUUAGUUGUUUUAGGGACAUUAAAGUGAGAAUAACGGGAAUGGGUAAUUGGGUUAUUGUUGGUUGGUGAAAAUUAAAUAUGAUAUUUAUUGUGGGUUGAAAACCCUAUAUGCUCACCAGGCUCCCAAGCCUGACCCACUCAGUUUUAAAUUGUAUUACAGGUAGUGGCGGAAGGGCAUGAGAUGGGUGAACCAUCAAGUUGUUUUGUUUACAAGUCUGCAUAUGUUUAUAUUUGUCAUAUGACUUGUAAUGUAUUCGUUUAUGCUUAUUGAUCUGUAUCGGAACAUGACACCCCGAGUUUUGAUUAUAAUGAAAAUACAUUUCUUUUAUGAAAUGCUUCGGUAAACAAUGUUUUAUCAUGUUUUGUUUUUGGGAACAAAUUCCGCAACUCUUUCAAAUCAAAAGAAUUUACUCUGAAAAUAUUUAAAAGCAUAAAUGAAAAUCGGUCUUUUCUGGCCGAGAUUUUGGGGAUGUCACACCGUGCUCUCAGGAUGGUCUAAGUAUCUCUGGAGAAGGUGAUCAAUAUUCCUCCAGAUGUUUCGGGUAUGUCAUCUUCUAAUGCUAAUAGAUUGAUGAUGGGAAUAUGUAUCGCUUUGGAGUUGUGAAUGAGUUUGGAUAAGUCAGAUCUCGGGUCUGUUUUCUGCUAGUGGUU